rnacentral:rRNA from 1 species
GUGUCAGCAGCCGCGGUAAAACCAGCACCUCAAGUGGUCAGGAGGAUUAUUGGGCCUAAAGCAUCCGUAGCCUGCUCUGUAAGUUUCCGGUUAAAUCCAUUAGCUUAACUGAUGGGCCGCCGGAAAAACUGCAAAGCUAGGGAGUGGGAGAGGUAGACGGUACUCAGUAGGAAGGGGUAAAAUCCUUUGAUCUAUUGAAGACCACCUGUGGCGAAGGCGGUCUACCAGAACACGUUCGACGGUGAGGGAUGAAAGCUGGGGGAGCAAACCGGAUUAGAUACCCGGGUAGUCCCAGCUGUAAACGAUGCAGACUCGGUGAUGCCCUGGCUUGUGGCCAGUGCAGUGCCGCAGGGAAGCCGUUAAGUUUGCCGCCUGGGAAGUACGUACGCAAGUAUGAAACUUAAAGGAAUUGGCGGGGGAGCACCACAAGGGGUGAAGCCUGCGGUUCAAUUGGAGUCAACGCCAGAAAUCUUACCCGAGGAGACAGCAGAAUGAAGGUCAAGCUGGAGACUUUACCAGACAAGCUGAGAAGUGGUGCAUGGCCGUCGCCAGCUCGUGCCGUGAGAUGUCCUGUUAAGUCAGGUAACGAGCGAGAUCCCUGCCUCUAGUUGCCACCAUUACUCUCAGGAGUAGUGGGGCGAAUUAGCGGGACCGCCACAGUUAAUGUGGAGGAAGGAAGGGGCCACGGCAGGUCAGUAUGCCCUGAAACCUUGGGGCCACACGCGGGCUGCAAUGAUAGUGACAAUGAGUUCCUAAACCGAAAGGUGGAGGCAAUCUUCAAACGCUAUCACAGUUAUGAUUGAGGGCUGCAACUCGCCCUCAUGAAUAUGGAAUCCCUAGUAACUGCGUGUCAUUACCGCGCGGUGAAUACGUCCCUGCUCCUUGCACACACCGCCCGUC